UACGUAGGCAGCGAGCGUUGUUCGGAGUUACUGGGCGUAAAGAGUGCGUAGGCGGUUUUCUAAGUUUGGUGUGAAAUCUCCCGGCUUAACUGGGAGGGUGCGCCGAAAACUGGAAGGCUUGAGUAUGGGAGAGGUAAGCGGAAUUCCUGGUGUAGCGGUGAAAUGCGUAGAUAUUGGGAGGAACACCGGUGGCGAAGGCGGCCCCCUGGACCGGUACUGACGCUGAUGCGCGAAAGCGUGGGGAGCAAACGGG
rnacentral:rRNA from 1 species